AUUGAACGCUGGCGGCAUGCUUUACACAUGCAAGUCGAACGGCAGCACGAAAGAGCUUGCUCUUUUGGUGGCGAGUGGCGAACGGGUGAGGAAUGCAUCGGAACGUACCGAGUAAUGGGGGAUAACUGUCCGAAAGGAUAGCUAAUACCGCAUACGCAUUGAGAAGGAAAGUGGGGGCUCUUCGGACCUUACGUUAUUCGAUCGGCCGAUGUCUGAUUAGCUAGUUGGUGGGGUAAAGGCCUACCAAGGCGACGAUCAGUAGCGGGUCUGAGAGGAUGAUCCGCCACACUGGGACUGAGACACGGUCCAGACUCCUACGGGAGGCAGCAGUGGGGAAUUUUGGACAAUGGGCGCAAGCCUGAUCCAGCCAUGCCGCGUGUCUGAAGAAGGCCUUCGGGUUGUAAAGGACUUUUGUUAGGGAAGAAAAGGAUAGUGUUAAUACCAUUAUCUGCUGACGGUACCUAAAGAAUAAGCACCGGCUAACUACGUG
rnacentral:rRNA from 1 species